UGCAGACCUGAGUGUAUUAGAUUUGCUUGGUCCGCCUGAGAGCUGAGAAAUCAAAUCUGCUCAACCUUCAUCAGAACAACUUGAUAAAACCUUACAAAACUCAGGGCUGCAAAGUAAUCAAAAAGCCAUGCUGACCUCUUAAGUGUGAUGAAAUCCAAAGUCUGGUUGAGUGCCAUCCAUCAGGAAUAAACACACACACUGCUUUGAGUAUACCAGACCAUGUAUCAAAGGAGGCCAGAUCAUUGAUUCAACAGCUUUUGCAGUUCAAUCCUGCGGAGCGUCUUGGUGCUGGCGUUGCUGGUGUUGAAGACAUCAAAUCUCAUCCAUUUUUUGCCCUUAUAGAAUGGGCAGAUCUGCUGCGAUGAGAUGUUGCCCUUUGAACAAACUCAGGUCAAGCGGACAAGUUUCUCUGCACAGAAGCACCCUGACUUGCUUCCCUAAGAUGUCCCCAGUCACUUGGACAUGAUGACUAAAGGACGCUGGAGUAAUCAUGCCAAAAGUGAACCCUCUGAACAGGAAUCACUGGUUAUGCAGGGUGCUAGUUUAUUUUUACUGCAACUGGCUGUUGUGUGUUUGUGUAAACCUUUUCACCAAAGGAUGGUUUGUGAUGAAACUGCUGGGUAGCUGUUUAGCACUGCUAGCGUGUCGACUAAGUAGGAACAGGGGUGCACUCCUGGUGCUUUGUCUGAUGACGGAAAUAUCUAGAGUGUGCCAGUUGAAAGCAUCUUUUACAGUGUCAAUAGACGAUUUCCCUAUGCUAAGUGCAGCUGUGGGGGGUGGGAGGAAGGAACAAAUAAUUUAUUAAUGGUAUAUGCUGAAUAAAAUACUAAAAUGCUUUAUGUGAAAUUUGACACAUAAAAAAUAGUAUAUCCAUUAAAAAUUAAGAAAGCUGUUGCAUAAUAUUGUGGAAUGCUUCUUGAAAAUGGCAUAUCUUUUCAAAUUGUGGAAAGAGCAUAUAAAAAGCAAACAGUCCUGUCAGCUGUUGUACUUUGUUGGCUGGCAAUGUCUCUUUAGAAGUCUUGACUCUGUUAUAUUGGAUGAGUUGUGUGUCAAAGUCACUACACAAAGGGAAA